GGUGGGUAAGUGAGUGCAUUCAUAGGAAUUUAAAAUGUAAAACCGGCUUAAUUGGAUAAAAAUAAUCAACUGUGAAUGGAUACCGGCUAUUUAUAAGUGAAAUGAUACACGCUCCCUUAAUUGACCAUAGUCUGACUUCUCAUUGAAUUGUUUGCUGUUUGCUUGGGGAAAAAAUGCCAGCUGGAAUGCAGGGGGGAUUAAGUUUUAUUUAUUUUCCUUGCUAAGAGCCACAUUGUGCAAUUUGAAAGGAAAUGUCCUUGGAAGACGGAUUCCUCCAUCCGCUGUUUCAGCCCUUGUUUGUUUUCUGGUGGAAAUUAAUUUCUCAAAGGCCCUCCGUGUUGGAAAGGGCACGCUGAUACGUGGAGGGAAAUGAGGAACUGGAAACAAGAUGCGCCUUAGCAGGCUGCAGGAUGGAACCUUCGUGCUUGCAGGUGGUGAGAAGUGACCUUCGGGAGGAACCCACGCUGAUGUGUUGAGUUUUGCUGGGAUUCUUCAGUGCAAUUUGGGCUCUGAUACAUAAGUAAGGUGGUGCAACCACGUGUGUCAGCUCACUGCUGAGCUCAGCGCUGGAGGCCCUGCUUUGGGUGAGUUCUGCUGUGGGAUGUGCCAAUGGGAAUGGACUGAAGCGGCUCAAAGCGUUCCAUGGGAGCUCAGCCUGCAUGCCUUUCUCCCAGCAGGUUGGAUGUAAGUUGGGUCUGAUGAGUUCCAGGUGUUCUUCCAAAGGUUUGGAACUGGAGAGAACAAUUGUGGGCAGCCAUGGGGUCACCUUUUCCCCAGGUGUGGAUGAGGGAUGUAUGCUGAGCCAGGAGGUCCUACUUAGUGCUUAAAGGAGCCCACAAGCAGGAUGGGGACUGGCUUUUUACAUGAGUAGGUAGUGAUAGUACAAGGGGGAAUGGUAUUAAACGGAAAGAGGAGAGAUUUACGUGAGAUGUCAGAGGGAAAUUCUUUACUCAGGUUGGUGUGGCUCUGGCACUGCUGCCCAGAGCUGUGGGUGCCCCAUCCCUGCUGGUACCCAAGGCCGGGUGGGAUGGGGCCCUGAGCAGCCUGAGCUGAUGGGGGGCAGAGCACAGGGUGGAGGAUGGGGCCGGGUGGGCUUUAAGGUCCCUUCCAACCCAACCAUGCUGUGAUUUGGGGGUUUCAUUAGCUGGGUGUGUGUGCACUGCUGCCAGUGCAAGCUUCCCCAAAGCCUAACAGUCUGCAAAGUGCUUUCCAGAGGGCUUCAUUUCCCUUUUUUAAUCACAGAUCUGGCCGGGAUGGACAGGAGGAUGGAGGUGGGAGGAAGGGGUGUGUGGGUGAGAGGGGUUAAGGAGGAGCAGCGCAGUGCCAUAGCGGCGGCCACGGCGGGGCAGUGCGGCUCCGUGCACGGCAGUGCGGCAACGGCGGGGGGGGAGGGAGGACGGGAGAAAGGGGGAAACAUUAAGCAAACAAAUGAAAACAACACCAAAAAAGGGGGUAGGGAGAGAAAAAGGAAGCAAAACCAAAAAGAAAGCCAGCCUGCAAAUGUAAAUGCACCAGCUACGUGCCAAGUGAAGGUGCUGAUGCUGUGAUAAGCCUUCAGGUCUGCAAAGUUUGCUGGGAAGAAAAAAGGGAUUCACGUCCAUAGGGGAUCAGAGCGCUGCUCUGACGUUGCUAUUUUUCUUUCAGCUUGGAAGGUCCUUCCCCUGCUCUCCCCCACUGGAUUCAAACCAGGCAGUGAAGCCAGGUCUGUUCCUGGAGCCGUUGGAGGCUCACCGAUGUCUGUCUUCGGACCUCCCUGCUGAUAAAGAUUUAUGUGAUAGGAACAAUUUGGUUGGGGUCAGGAUUUCUCCUCCAUAGAACCCAGGGCUACGUGGGGAGCUGCUGGGAUCCCAGCACAGCCUCUGUCCGGUUUCAGUUACAGCUUGAGGUAUUUUUGCCUCUUCUCUUUGCACGGGAUUUAAAGCUGAGAUAUGCAAACAGAGGCUGUUGUCCACCAAUGUCCUCCAAUGGGCGACUGCUCUCCAGCUCCUUGCAUACAGUAUCUGCACACAGUAGCUUUUGCCUUCUUGCACAAGUAUUUUAAUUGCUAAUUUGCUGGUGUCAUUUAGCUCAGCUUUGGCAUUUAUCACUUGGAUUUAAACUUGUUCAAACCGACGAUUUUCUUGGCUACCUGUGUUAAUAAUUUAAAGGCAAAAGCUCAUCACUAAGUUAUUAUGGGUAAUUAUUUUGUAGCUGGUGUGGAAAUGGUCAUUUCUGCAGCCUUAACGAAUCAUUGAAUCAUAGAAUGGUUUGAAUUGGAAGGGACCUUAAGGACCAUCUGGUCCAACUCCCUGCACUGCACAGGGACACCCACAGCUCCGUCAGUGCUCAGAGCCCCUCCAGCCCUGACCGUGGCUGUCUGCAGGGAUGGAGCACCACCACCUCUCUGGGCAACCCGUGCCAGUGCCUCACACUUACUGUAAAGAACUUCCUUAUGUCCAGUCUACCUCUCCCCUCUUUUAGCGUGGAACCAUUUCCCCUUGCCCCUCCGUCUCUCACCCAGCAGUGCAGCACAGGAGCGCUCUGAUUGCGAUCAUGCAGUCAUCGAAGGGGUCGUCCCCCAAAAGGAUGCUUUGAUUUUCGAUGUGACACCCAGGGCUGAGCAGCUCCGCUAGCCGAGUUUACGUGGGAUGUGAGUUUUCCCAUCGCUUUACUUCGAGACGUGCGGCGUGGAGCCUUGGGGCAAUGCCGGCACCUCCAGCUGCCCCUGCCCCCUGUGUUCUGCCCCUGCUGAGGGGGUCAGCCCCGAAGGUGAGGUGAUGGAGGGCUGUGGAUGGGCACGGCUCGGCGCUGGACAGAGGACCCACAGCUGCACUGAUGGCCAUCCCUGCCCCGGCCCCAACAGUGCCGCACGUGCAAUGCUGUGUGCUUUCCCGGGGGGCUGAAGGUGCUGAAUUAGGCGCUAACGUAUUUUCCUGUUGGAUCACUGUUUGACUCAAGAAAAUAAGAAAGGGCUAUUACUGCCUUCUGACCCGUUGCUUUGACAUUUGAGUUUCAGUUUGCUUAGCGUCAUAACGUUGAGAAAUUCAAACAGCUCUCCAGCUCGCAGAAUUAUGAACGCCUCCAUUUGGCACUGGAAGAAACCAGCCCUGCAUUCUGGAUUUCCUUACGUUCGCAUUUUCCCCAGCCCAGCAGGGUCGUUUUCCCUUUGAGAACAAUACAGGGCUUGGCUCCCCACGCUGUGCCGUGGCUGCAGCAGCUCAGUGCAGGGCAGGGCAGGUUGGUUCAUCCCCAGGAAGGCUCUGCCAGACACGGGGGCUGUACAGCUGUCCCAGCCAUAUGCCCUGCCCUGCCCUGGGCUGCAGAGGGGCCCUCGCUUUGCACUGCUGCAUCUUUGCUGCUGCAGUCUGCACUGAGGAGCUGGAGUUGUUGAAGGGCUUUUCUACUGAUAAAUGGAUGGAAACCCGUAUUUUCAUCUCACGUCAUCAAACAUUCAUCAGAUACUCCUGGUCAGUACCGACAGAGCCAGAUUUGAACUGGUGACCCAGCAGUAAAAGGCCCCGUUAGCGAUUUCCCUGAACCAUCGAGCCAGGGUGUAACACAAAGGCAGUGCCGUGGCGAUUUGUGCCACAGGUGAAAGCAGGUUCUGAUUUCUGUUUGCUGAUGACCGUUACCAAAGCGUUUUGAAGGGGUUCGUGCUCCCGUGUGAUCCAGAAAUAGGAAGAGCAGCACUGCCUGCACCCAUCUCCCCACGUAGGGCAGUGCUGUAUGAACCCGACCCGUUCACAUACGUGGGUGGGGAGAGAGAGCCCCUCUGAGCCCCGGGACCCAAAAACGUCCUCAUGUGGCACUGUGGGACCGUCCUGCGCCCGGUCUGUGCUGUGAUAGUGCUCCCCAUAGGCAGGCAGGCUGCUUUGCCUCACAGUGCUGCUCUGUUCUUUCGCCGGCGAUUUUUAUAUCCCGGUUCUUUCUCUCUUUACAGAAUCAUUUGAAGAAAUAAUGUGUGAGGGGAAAAAAAAAUAUUACCUCCGGCAGUUGUGUUAUAACGGCUCUUGUGCUGACAGCCCUUUGGGAACGGUGGCAGCAGCAGGGCUGAAUGUUUUGGAGAAGAGAUCCUCAGAAGGAACACGGGAGGUGCGUUGGGUCGCCUUCGCUCUGCACAGAGAUAAAGCCAGAGGGAUCCCACAUUCCGAACAAGGCAGAGCCUGAACUUGAACUGCGGGUUGUCCAAAGCUCAGGAGAGAGUUUAAAGAAGAAUGAGGCGGGGAGGAGGAAUGAAAUGCCUCCGGUGGUUGAGCCCUCUCACCUGCCGGAGGACGUCGGGUCCGUCUGUGGCUGGGAAGUCUUUGGAUCAACGCAGGAGUGUGGAUGUAAGAAAAAAUCCUGUGCAAAGCAUCUGUGUUGGGGAGGAUGCGACGAGCGAAACGCUCCCGAGCCCCUUUCUCCACACCAGCAUAAACCACAGCGCUGUCGGUGGCUCUGAGGCUGCCCUAAGCCCAGCGUGGCGUUGUCCCCGCUCUGCUGGCUCUUGGCUGGAGCUGCUGGCACAUCACCUGUGCAUGUGUGUGCGUGCAAGGAAGAAAGUAGGGGGAAGUUGUCCCUGUUGCUGUCACAGUGCUGUCCCCGCCUGGCAGAGGUGCCCUCAGCCCAUGCUGUGCUGCUGCUCCUUCAGCAUCCAGGAAAAGGCAUGGAGAUGGUCCCCCAUUCCCCAUAACAGGUUUGUGCCAACCGCUCAGAAUAUCGAUUCAAACGC
ensembl:lncRNA